UACAGAGGUCCCGAGCGUUGUUCGGAUUCACUGGGCGUAAAGGGUGCGUAGGUGGUGAGGUAAGUCGGAUGUGAAAUCUCCGGGCUCAACCCGGAAAUGGCAUUGGAAACUACCUUGCUAGAGGAUUUGAGGGGGGAUUGGAAUACUUGGUGUAGCAGUGAAAUGCGUAGAUAUCAAGAAGAACACCAAUGGCGAAAGCAGCUCUCUGGGACGGUACUGACGCUGAGACGCGAAAGCGUGGGGAGCGAACAGG
rnacentral:rRNA from 1 species